rnacentral:misc_RNA from 1 species
UUAGCAAAGUGUGUUGCAAAGGGAAUAAAACUAGUGCAGCGACAAUGACGCGUCCUCUUUACUAUGCCUUUUGUUACUGCGAAGAAAAUGUGUACAAAUUUCUAGAGACGAUUUCUGCAAUGAGCGAUUUAUUUGACCGAAGCUGUGCUGUUUUUAUGACUUCCUUUUGCUGUGCACCCUGCGAUGAGGCUCUCAACGAGUGGACUUCUGUCGUACCAUAUAGGCCCUACGAAUCUUCAGAGUUUAGGAAGGACAUCACAACAUGGGAUUACCAUGUGAUUGCUCUGGUGCGGGCGACGCGCACUGGUAAGUGGUACGUUGUUGAUCAGGACUCACGGUUGCCACCUACAGAGGAUACCGAGCUGGGCUCAUUAGCUCCACACUGCAUUGAUCUUGACAAAUACGUCGCACAGGUAUUGUUUCUCGAUACAGCUGUCACAAAUGCUGUCUGUUCUGAGCUGACAGAACUUCUGAACCGGGUGCGUUAUCGGGUUAUUGAGCGGGACGAUUAUCUCUCCUUUUUUAGAAGUGAUCGGUCUCACAUGCAGAAGGAACCGGGAGUGUAUCGAACGCUGCCACCACAGUGGCCUUUGAUCAAUGGGUGCUCUACUUGCGUAGGGGACGAGGUUAGGAGAAGAGCGGAGUCAACAUUGAGCGCGCUGCCGUCAACUUUAAGGGCGAACAACCUUGUAUGUUUUAUUAAUGCGGCCAAUACCACAAUCCCAGGGGUAAUUAUCGACAGACACUCGUUUGCAGAUUUUUUUCGAUAGCUAUAUAAAAA